UAAAAGAAUUGAAGAUUUCUUUCGAUCCCCCGUCCCCGUCGUCUGCAAAUCUAUUCUCUUCGGACUCCUCGUUUCUUCCCCGCCCCAUCAUCACCCAACGGCGGUCGCGAUUGCUGUCUCCGCCGAUCUCCGCCGCCCGUCUCGGCCCGGGUGGGGGUUCGAUGGCGGAGCUCGCCCAAAGAAACGUCGAACGGGUGCAGACGACUCCAACGUGCAUCCGUACGUUCGUAUAUCUCGCUCUCGAGCACCGAACGGUUGAUGGAUAAAGAAGCGAAGGGACGGAAGGCGAAAAGAAAUUGUCAGAGGAAAGAGAGAGAGAGGCAGUUACGUGCAGGUGGUUUGAGACGUGCGGAUUUUGAGGUAGAGAAAGGUGAUUUUCCUGUAGUUGUCAUCAGCAACUACUCGGAUGCUAUGAGAAGACAUGUCUCCACAUAUGCAAUUGAAAUCUGUUGCAAGCAUUGAUUAUGUUCAAAUCAAAGUAAUAAAUAUUGUAAAGGUUUGAUAUUUGAAAAUAAUUACCCUUGCUUGUGUCCCAUCCGUUUGCUGUUGAGGUUGGCAUAACUCGAGAUGAAUCGGUACAUUUGAGUUCUCAGUCAUAGAUCUUAAAUGUCAUUGCCCUGGGGCGUGCUGGCUAGUGGCUAGCAUAUUACAUGCUGUGUUGAUCCACAUGUCAUGCGCCAGAACAAAAAAAUAUUAAGAAAGGACUUAAAAUGCUAUGAUCUUCUAGAAGUAUAUGGAGAAUUGAAGCUAUGAUCUUGUAAGAACCUUUCUGCUCAUUUGGUUUGAGUUUGUGACAUGGCCGUGAUUAUUGGGAUUCUCUUAAGAUGGCUAGAGGCACUGAAAUCUAUAGUUUAGAUUGCAAGAAAUGCACUGCAUCUUUUAUUUUUUGAGUUGGUUAUAUGUCAUACUUAUCUUAAAAAUUCCUUUGUCCUUUCUAGGGCUCUUUAAUAUGUGUCAAUAUCUCAUGGCUUGGGGCCAUUACAAGUUUUUCCAUGGAAUAGGAUGCGCCACCAUCCCAGUCAGUCCCAAUACUUGGGAUGGUGCCUCAUCGGAAUGUCCCGUACUAAUGUAUCACUGGAUGGUUUGGUUACUGGACUAUCCUGCAUUUAUUCAUCCAGUCACUCUCAGAUAUUCUGUUAAUGAUCAAAGUUAUUUUACUUAGCAUAUUAUUAUAAAUAAUUUUACUAUUAUGUUGACCCCUUUUUUACUGUAUUUAGAUAGUUAGACACCCUUGUUUUCUCUGUUGAGUAGCUACUGAUGCCUUGAGUUUGUGUUUCCUUGAUUUGUUUGCAUAUGUUGGAUUUUAAAUUGUCGCCUCAAUUUUAAUGGUUGACCUUUUAUGUUGAUCUUUUAAUAAGAUAUUUGACGUGGAGUUUUUUAUGAAUAUGUUUAUGGUCCGCAGGUAUUAUAGAUUAUGAUGGUACUGAUAUUUUUGCUUUCUUGGCAGUCAGGGAAGUUGCAUUAUAUCAGGUUCGAGAUAGAUUAUACAUUUUCAAACAACCUGACUGAUGGUAAAUUAGAUGAUGCCAUGAUAUUGUUGGUCAGCUGUUUCCCUACUUCACUGUGUGAUUUGCUUACUCUUUUAGAUGAUUCUUUUUGCAAUUGAUGUCAGUGGAUAAUGUUGUUAACUCCCCCCCCACCC